AUACAAGUUGCAGAAGCACUGGAAGCUUGGAUAUGGUAUUUGGCUACUGUUUGAUCAUUACCGCACUCCAUUGGAUCAGAUAUGCAGAAGGUGAUAGAAGAUGACU